UCAUGCCCGAUCGCAUUGAAAACUUUAUUUAUUUAUUUUUUUUCCCCCGAAAGGCGCGUCUUUGUCGCUGCCGCCGCUUCGGCCCCCUUCGGCGGAAAUGAACGGAAAUUAACGACCGGAAUUUUUUUUAACGGUACAUCUCCUCAGGUGUGCGGUUACAACGGGCGGGAUGGAUUUUUGUGCGGGUGGGUGCUGUCGAUUGCUGGGACCGGUCCCAGCGUGAUAAGCAGUCGUUUUAAUUUUGCUUUUCUCUGUGUUUUCGGUUUGGGAAGCGGGUGUGUUCCGGAGAUUGCCGAAUGGAUCUCUUUCUGCUUCCCCUCCCCCGCCAUCCCCGCGGCCGAGCUGUGCCCCAUGGAUGCUCAUCAACUACAUUCAUUCAUCCUCUGCAGUGCCUCAUGGAGUCUAUUUUUAAUGACUGUGAUAUUCAUUGUAAAAGAAAAAUCGAUAUGUCCUGUCAAGCUUCUCCUCGGCAGAGUAAGAAAGCUGAAAUAUGUGCCAGGACAAAAUGAACAAAAUCGAUCACUAUAGCAUCCCUGCCCCUUUGAGGGCAGGAGGUUAACAGCGCGGCACAAUACUUUCUGUUACUUGUUUCCCUUAAGACAUUUUAAUGCAUUAUCAAUAUACUGUACUGUUCUAAAGUUAUAUAUUAUUUUUCUUCACAGCAUUAUACAUGGCUAUAUAAUCAGGGAAAAAUCAUUAUACAUAGCAUAUGACAAUGUCUUCACAUUUUGCUUUUAUUUGUAUGGUAAGUUUAUAAGAUUGUCUUCUAAAAUAACUAACAAUGACAAUGAGUUAAUCGCAAUGUUAUUCCUUUGAUCGUUACCUGGCAGCUUAUCCUAAGUAACUACACACUUAUUUAUAAAGUUGAUGGAUACUGACAAAUGAGUCAAAUGUAAAGUGGAGCAGAUUUUGCUAUCUGAAGCUGAAAUUGCUAAGCUACAUGGAGAAAACUAAAUUUAUUUUCAAUACCAACAAUUACUGGAAAUAGUAGAUGCCAUUUUAUAAUGGGCCAGAGUGAAAGCCUUCUAACUGUGUGGUAGGAGCAUUUAAAAUGAAGCGGUAUUUCCUCCAUCCCCAAUUUGUUGUAAUUUUAAAAUGGCUAAAUGUUCACUCAGGUGAGAUGGGAACCCCACACACCCGUGCAAAUUAUAGUCCUCCUAUGUCAACACAACAUUAAGGCCAUUUAGUAGCAAGUCAAUGGUAGUGGUCAUCUAGCAGUAUGAACCUGAUACAACACUGGACAGUCCUGUAUGGUAUGUUUGAGAUUUCCCUCUGUGGGUCUACAGAGUGAUCCUUUGUGGCCCACAUGAAAAAUAUAAACUUUCUUUCCCCAGAUUCCUUCUCCUCACUAAUUUAUCAUCACUCUUGAAUUCUCCUUACAAUUGUGGACUAUCCUAGAAUUCCAUUUCCCAUCUCUGAUCCUGUCUUUCCUAAGGCCAGGCCGGCAUGCUUCUGGCAGCCCGACUUCUGCUACUUUCUUGGUUGGUGGGGCUUUGCAUAGUUGCGUUCUAAUGAGAUCAUGGUGUUAAGCUUGGCUAUGUCUUUCACUGCUGCUCCUGGACAGGCCAGGCACUUAUUUUCCCAACUGAGAGAUGCAAUUUCCACUUUGGGAAUGGCUUAAACAUGGCUUAACCGCGACUACUGUCGAAUGUAUCUGCAUCAUCCAUCUAAUGAAAUUAGUUGAAUUAAUCAAAAAGAUAAUUAGAAAAGAGGCAUAUUUAGGAAUGACUGGAAGGUCACAGGCUUUGAUAUGAUACUGAGGUGGAAGUGACAGGAGUUUUGACACUGACAUUUACCCAAAAAUGUUGAGAAUUUAUUAUUAGUCUCAUAUCAGCAGUAAUAGCAAUUCAAGUCAAUUUCAAAGGACAUGCUCAAAAGAGGAUAAUAUUGAAUGGCAGUUUCUUACUUCUAAUUUGCUUACAUAUUGAUUAAAACAUUGACAUGUUUUACU